rnacentral:tRNA from 1 species
GGCAAGAUGGCCGAGCGGUCUAAGGCGCUAGGUUCAGGUUUACCUGACCAUCACAGUUCUCCGGAGCUUCCUAGUCACGCAAGUGGCGUGGGUUCGAAUCCCACUCUUGUCA